GGGGGUGGGAGCCUCAGAAACAGGAAGGCCGAGAUUACAGUCGGUUUUACAGCUCUUUUGAAGUCGCCGGGAGCCAGCUCGGGAAGCCUGCAGGCUGUGAGCACGUUGAUCAAAGGUCCCUUUGCGGGCUCAAAUUAACAGGGAGCUGGCGAGCCCGCGCAGCACCUGCCUGGGAAGAGCAGCGCCACAGCAAACCGGCUCAUCUUGCCGGGAGGUGAGCCUCUCAAAAAGCUUGCCCAGGCAAAGUACUUAGGUUCUGUCUGGGUCGGAGGGGAAAGGCGUGGUCUGUUUUCUUUGCGUAGAGAUAUUUAUUUUUAACGUUGAUCUUUACGCCACUAGAGCCCUCCCCCCUCCGCUCUAAUCCACAAGCAACCCCUUUUCAAAAAUGGAUGGAUGAGUUGAGAUUGGGAGAGGAAUGAAUGGUUUUAUCAUAAAAUUGCGCCGGCCCCUUUACGCAGCGUUGUCCCUUUCAUCCCUAUUAAAAGCCAUAGUAUUGAUAGGGUUUUUUGUUUUGUUUUGUUUUUUAAAGAGUAGCCCUAAAGGGUCAGAAUAAAAACAAACACACUGGAAAACAAAGCCCGUGGGCUCAGAGAGCUGAUGCCUAGAAAAGAAAGUGAAAAGUUAUGUAUAGUUGGGUGUUAAUACACCGAGAAGCUGCGGAGAGCGCACAGGAGUUCAUUGUGUCAGACUCUUUGUAGUUAAUGAGACUUAGGAAAUCCCCGAGGACUCGGCAGUGCCUCGAGUCUUCCUAAGGAGCAGAUGUGGUCAAAAGGAAAAUGGAGAAGGGGUAACUUGGUAGACAACAGAGGAUAGAGGUAUUUAGAAAAUAAAAUUAUAAACGAUCAUUUGCCAAGGCAACUCCAAAAUCCUUUAGAGUAUAGGGUGGUUUUGUUCAUUUGUUUUUUGGGGUUAUCUCUUUGCAAGUCAUUUGAUUUCAAAUGCAGUGCUCGCACAGCAUGCAGAAUCUGCUGGGGAUUGAGGGCUGCAUUACAGCCCAUAGCCUCAGACAGGCUGAACUCACCAGCCAGCCAGCUUCCUCCCCCUGUACAGCAGUAACAACACCUCUCACUAGGGUUGUGAAGUCUAAACGACUGUACAUAAGGUGCCCAAUAAAUAAGAUAAUGUGAUAAGUGGCAAUAUAAGGUGUGCAAUAGAUAGACUAUUACUUUUAAGUCAAUCUGACUUUGUGUUUCUAUGUUUACACAUGUAGUAUUUGGAAAUGAACCUUGGACUUUAAGAACGCUUGGAGUCAUUGAACCACACCCAACUCCUAUUCUGACAUUUCACUGCUAUCCAGGAUUUACAGAAAAUGUUAGAAAAACUCUGCAGCAAUGUUAUUUUGAAAUUUAUAAAGCCUUUACAAAAAUGUGAAGAAAGAUGUAUAUAUUUGUGGCAUCUUGAUCUCUACUAUAAAUUGCGAAAUGAUUGGAUUGAGCUUAAGGUAUUAAAGCUUUUAAUUAGAAAAUUUUAAAUAAAUGAUGUUCUGGAUAUGUCAUGCAUGUAACUUUGGAGAAAAAUGUCAACUACGUGUAACACCCCCUGACUUGCCAUUAUACCUAUUAUGGAUUCAAAGGAAUUUAAUACACCUGUCUAGUUUAG
rnacentral:lncRNA from 1 species